rnacentral:rRNA from 1 species
GAUGAACGCUGGCGGCGUGCCUAAUACAUGCAAGUCGAACGCUGGAGAUCUAGCUUGCUAGCUCGAAGGAGUGGCGAACGGGUGAGUAAUACAUAAGCAACCUACCCACGAAGACUGGGAUAAUCUCUGGAAACGGGGACUAAUACCGGAUAGGUAAUCGGAAGGCAUCUUCUGGUUAUUAAAGGUUAAAAACACUGGUGGAUGGGCUUAUGGCGCAUUAGUUAGUUGGUGAGGUAACGGCCCACCAAGACGAUGAUGCGUAGCCGGCCUGAGAGGGUGAACGGCCACAUUGGGACUGAGACACGGCCCAGACUCCUACGGGAGGCAGCAGUAGGGAAGUUUCGGCAAUGGGGGCAACCCUGACCGAGCAACGCCGCGUGAGUGAAGACGGCCUUCGGGCUGUAAAGCUCUGUUGUAAGGGAAGAACGGUAGAUAGAGAAUAUCUAAGUGACGGUACCUUACCAGAAAGCCACGGCUAACUACGUG